GGCAGUCGAGGGGUAACAGGGUCUUCGGAUCGCUGACGACCGGCGCACGGGUGNGNNNCGCGUAUGCAACCUACCUCUAACUGGGGAAUAGCCCCGAGUAAANCGGGAUUAAUACCCCAUAACAUUCAUCAUUCGCAUGUUUGAUGAAUUAAAGUUCCGACGGUUAGAGAUGGGCAUGCGUGACAUUAGCUAGUUGGUGAGGUAACGGCUCACCAAGGCAACGAUGUCUAGGGGUUCUGAGAGGAUUGUCCCCCACACUGGUACUGAGACACGGACCAGACUCCUACGGGAGGCAGCAGUAAGGAAUAUUGGUCAAUGGACGAAAGUCUGAACCAGCCAUGCCGCGUGCAGGAUGACUGCCCUAUGGGUUGUAAACUGCUUUUGUAUAGGAAGAAACUUCCGGACGUGUCCGGAACUGACGGUACUAUACGAAUAAGGACCGGCUAACUCCGUGCCAGCAGCCGCGGUAAUACGGAGGGUCCAAGCGUUAUCCGGAUUUAUUGGGUUUAAAGGGUGCGCAGGCGGGAUGAUAAGUCAGUGGUGAAAACCUACAGCUCAACUGUAGACCUGCCAUUGAUACUGUCAUUCCUGAGUACAGUGGAAGUGGGCGGAAUGUAUCAUGUAGCGGUGAAAUGCAUAGAUAUGAUACAGAACACCGAUAGCGUAAGCAGCUCACUAUACUGAAACUGACGCUCAGGCACGAAAGCGUGGGGAGCAAACAGGAUUAGAUACCCUGGUAGUCCACGCCGUAA
rnacentral:rRNA from 1 species